GUGGGGAAUAUUGGGCAAUGGGCGCAAGCCUGACCCAGCAACGCCGCGUGAGGGAAGAAGGCUUUCGGGUUGUAAACCUCUGUCCUUGGUGACGAAACAAAUGACGGUAGCCAAGGAGGAAGCCCCGGCUAACUACGUGCCAGCAGCCGCGGUAAUACGUAGGGGGCGAGCGUUGUCCGGAAUUACUGGGCGUAAAGGGUGCGUAGGUGGCCUUUUAAGUUGGAUGUGAAAUACCCGGGCUUAACUUGGGGGGUGCAUCCAAAACUGGGAGGCUAGAGUGCAGGAGAGGAAAGCGGAAUUCCUAGUGUAGCGGUGAAAUGCGUAGAUAUUAGGAGGAACGCCAGUGGCGAAGGCGGCUUUCUGGACGGUGUCUGACACUGAGGCGCGAAAGCCAGGGGAGCGAACGGGAUUAGAAACCCGGGUAGUCC
rnacentral:rRNA from 1 species